rnacentral:lncRNA from 13 species
GAAGCUAAUUGUUACGUAACCAUGGUGAUCAGGAGCACAUUUCAUUGGUUAAAAUGGAGGGAAACUAACCAAUCAUCAUGAUCUUCAUGUUUGCACAGCCACCCCGCCCUCCGCCUUUUUUUUUUUCAGUGACUAGAAGAGGAAGGCCAGAGAUGAAAUGUUUCUAAUGUGUUUUAAAAUUUAAUGUGGCCUAAAGAAAGAGCGGUGUUACUGCAACACAACAGGAAAUAGCUGAGGGAGCCUGUUAGCAGAUUUUGAGCACUGGACGUUGCUGCCAAGGCUAAGAGGUGAAAAAUGUGCCUUCUAUGAGUCACUGACUCCACACAGCAUGAAGCUAAAAACAACCACUGUGGCAAAUGGGGAGUCUACAUUCAGGGAAAAUUUGUAUAGGGUUUUUUUGCACAUUGGAUGGUCAGCAGACCCCGGGGAAAAAACUCUGAUGGUUUCCCAUGAUAAUGAUUAUACGGAUGACACCCAGCUUGACAAUUUGCUCAUAGCAGCCUAGAAGAGGAGGAACUGCCUGCCAGUGGGAUAUCAUCGAAGACAUAGAUACAUGUUAAUUUUGUUUAAGAAUGAUUGAGUAGGCAUCAUCUUGGCUUUCAGCUAAAGAUUUCUCCCAGCCAGAAUUUUCUCCAAUUACAUAAUAAAUAAUGGAGCACUCAUACUUUAGAUUAUUUC